GUCUAUUCGGCAAGCAGCAAACAUUAGUGCUCGUUGUUUCCCGUUCAGUGUCGGUCUUUUGCACACAUCAAAGUGGACGAAUAUUUGGGAAAAGGCAAACUUUGCUUCAUCCACACAUUCGGCUUUGUGGUUGGGAGAUAAGAACUGUUCACGGUUUCCAAUUUUGUCAUCAGAGCCUCAUUGACUAUUGGGUAUGGAGUGGCCUAAUGAGUUGGUGUUGGAUUUCUUACAAUACUAUGAGAAUGAACCAGUUAUUUGGAACCCUUCUCA